rnacentral:rRNA from 1 species
UACGAAGGGGGCUAGCGUUGCUCGGAAUCACUGGGCUUAAAGGGCGCGUAGGCGGGCAAGCAAGUCCGGGGUGAAAUCUUUCGGCUCAACCGGAAAAGUGCCUUGGAUACUGCUUGUCUGGAGGGAGGUAGGGGCCCGUGGAACUUCCGGUGGAGCGGUGAAAUGCGUUGAUAUCGUAAGGAAGACCAGUGGCGAAGGCGGGUCUCUGGACAGUUCCUGACGCUGAGGCACGAAGGCCAGGGGAGCAAACGG